AGAGGAGUCAGAUGGCUGCUGCAAGGACCAGGAGCAGUCAGUGCUUAGAGGAGCUGCCUAUGAGAAACAUCGAGGAGAGUUCAGGUACCCAAGCUGUUUUUUAGAAGGAGCUAAAGAUGCUCAGCCUGCACACAAUGGAUGAAGCCCAGAAUGGGACAUAAAUUGCUUUGAAGGAAGCCUGGAUCAACGUGGUGGCACUGCUGAGCUGAUAAACAAGGCCACGGAGCUGGGAAAGCACCAGAGAGGAAAUCCCAUGAAGGAAUAAAUUACAGUGACACCUACUAGUGUUGGUACUGCUAAAGGCUUCUGCUGGAAUGCAAAGUUCCUAGCUCAAGAUCAAUUAUCCAAGGACAUAAAGAAGAAAAAGACAGUCACAGUAUUUGUCUGCUUCUCAAACUACCCAAGAUGUGAAACUGGUUUUGCUUGCGGUGACAUGCCUAGUAAUGCAAUAGGUUCCUUGACUCAUGAGUUUGGCCUAUGAGACAGGACAUCCUGUGUGAUUUCAGCAAGUCCAUAUGGUUCUCCAGAGCUUUUCCCAAGCCCUGGUCCUCAGUCCUGACCCUGGCAUUGAUGCCAUCCAGAAAAACAAAUUCCAGUGUGUUGAUACAAAAUAGAUCCCUGGGUUUGAUGCUGAAUUCGACAACCACCUAAAGCAACUGU